rnacentral:rRNA from 1 species
GACGAACGCUGGCGGCGUGGAUUAGGCAUGCAAGUCGAACGGUAUCAUCCUUUCGGGGGUGAGAGAGUGGCGAACUGGUGAGUAACACGUAGGUUAUCUACCCUCAAGACGGGGACAACCCAGGGAAACUUGGGCUAAUACCGGAUGUGAGCAACUUUUAGUUGUUUGAAAGGUGGCGUAAGCUGUCGCUUGGGGAUGAGCCUGCGUCCUAUUAGUUAGUUGGUGAGGUAACGGCUCACCUAGGCAAUGAUAGGUAGGCGGCCUUAACGGGUGGUCGCCCACACUGGGAUUGAGAUACGGCCCAGACUCCUACGGGAGGCAGCAGUCGAGAAUAGUCUACAAUGGUCGGAAGACUGAUAGUGCGACGCCGCGUGAACGAUGAAUCCCUUCGGGGUGUAAAGUUCUUUUAUAUGUGAGCAGUGCUUCUUAUAUUAACAGUAUGGGGGGAGAGGAUAUUAGCAUAUGAAUAAGCAACGGCUAACUCCGUGCCAGCAGCCGCGGUAAACUCGU